rnacentral:misc_RNA from 1 species
CAGGAAUCAAAGAAAAAAAAAAAACAGUAUAUCUCCUGACUAAACAGGAUUUGGGCACAAGUCACACUGGCCAAGAUGACACUCAUUUAUCAACACAUUUCCUAAAGAUGGAUAGAAAACUCCACCUGAGGGAAUAAAUCAUCCACGUCCACAAAAAUCUCUAAAUCAGGCAAUGGGACAUGGGUUUUCUUCUCUGAUUUGUCAAACACUGUAAUACCUGUUAUUUUCUGUACUCCAAGUUUAGUAGCAAUCAAGUUCAGGUGGAAAUCAGUAGCUCCAAAUGCCUUCAACUGUGGUAGUUCCAUCGUCUGAAGGCCAUUUAUCAUAACAGCCUUCUCAUCAAGUGAAUCAUUUUGUGAUAACCAAACCUCAAAGGGGCCCAAUUCUCUCUCUGUAUGGUUUUUGAGAUUCAAGUGCACCGAAAAUGGCUUGUCCAAGUUGAUGACAGAUGGAACCUCCAUAACGCACAACUCGAUCUCUUUAUGUGUAACAGGAGUGCCAAGAAUUUGCUGUGUCUGCAGGCGACCAGGUUCACCUAAAUUUGUACGCCAUGUUAUUUGAAGCUUACCAAGAAUGUUACUUUGUGCAGAACCAUUUGAAGACGAUCUUAAUUGAUAAAGAUAGUUGUGAAUUCCUCCGCCAGAUCUAAUCAGUACAGGAGGCUUGAAUAUUUCCCUGCUUAGAGAAUCUUUCUCAGAUUUGUGUUCAUCAGCUUUUACUAUUUUUGCACUCCAGUGCUGUGCUGGCUCAAACUCAACUUGGUCCAUAUAAAGGUUUGUUUUUGUAUGAUUUUCAAUGCACGCCUCUAGAUAUGUAGUUUCCUUGACAACGCGGACCUUUGUUCUAACUGAAAGUGGAUUGGCAACAAUGAACUUGAAGAAUUGUGGAAGAUAUUUACGGUCACCAUCACCAUCAUUGUAAACUGCAGUGCAGACCAACGUGUGGGCUCCAAGUUCCUUCACAUCAUGCUCCACAAUGAAAUCAUAACGCCCUCCAGCACGUAUAGACUCAACAGGGGUUUUUGAUGUGUCCAAUGGAAGGAUCCUCUGCCUUUCUGUUUGAAUUU